AACGAACGCUGGCGGCGUGCUUAACACAUGCAAGUCGAACGGAAAGGCCCUGCUUUUGUGGGGUGCUCGAUUGGCGAACGGGUGAGUAACACGUGAGUAACCUGCCCUUGUCUUUGGGAUAACUUCAGGAAACUGGGGCUAAUACCGGAUCGGAUCUCCUGCUGCAUGGUGGGGGUUGGAAAGUUUCGGCGGUUGGGGAUGGACUCGCGGCUUAUCAGCUUGUUGGUGGGGUAGUGGCUUACCAAGGCUUUGACGGGUAGCCGGCCUGAGAGGGUGACCGGCCACAUUGGGACUGAGAUACGGCCCAGACUCCUACGGGAGGCAGCAGUGGGGAAUAUUGCACAAUGGGCGGAAGCCUGAUGCAGCAACGCCGCGUGCGGGAUGACGGCCUUCGGGUUGUAAACCGCUGUCGCCUGUGACGAAGCGUGAGUGACGGUAAUGGGUAAAGAAGCACCGGCUAACUACGUG
rnacentral:rRNA from 1 species